AGACUGAGUGAAAACUGAUACAGAAAUAAAAGGAAAAGAAAAUCUAAGAAAUAGAGAAGUACAAGGAAAUUUAAGCUGUCAAUUGACAUUUAGUUUUUUCUACUACAGUUUUAUCCAUUAAUAAGGAUGCUUCUUUGUAAAGGGCAGAAAACACAAAAUAGGAAAUUAUUGGCCCCUAUCAAGGGAGAGUCAAGAAGACACUUUGGUACAGUUGAGUGUAAUAGCCUUGAUAAGUAAUGAGGACUCAGUUUUUCUUGCUCUUUCAUUUGUAUUGGCAUCAGUCUCAGAUUUGAUGGGGAACAAUUUGGUUACUGUCUUUCAAAUUAUUAGUAUCUUCUCAGGUUUAAGUACACUGGAAAAGGGAGCUUGCUCAGGAAAAGAACUUGAGAUUAAGCUCUGAAUUAGUCCUGCUCGAUUUUGUGUGAAUCACUCUCUGUCCCAUCCAGACUCACUAGUUUGAGCAAGAGGAUAGAAUGUGUUGAUUGCUUCUGGCUUCUCUCAUGCUUCAGAUGUCUGUAUAGAGCCAAAUCAGAGACCCUCCUCAUAACCCCACAGCCUGAGGUUGGAGAAGAGGAGAUUCUAAAGAGAAGGGGGCUACAGAAGUAGGGCAAAACUGUGAUGUUAAGCCCAACACAUCUAAGGUCUGUUACACAUAUGAUAUACUAGCAUAUUCCUAACAUCUUGAGUUAAGGGUGGUUCUAAGACAAGGAUAUUUCAAGUGGUUUUUGUUUUAGUAGCAUCUUUAAGUUUUUGUACAGUAGUUUUGCUCUUAGAUAUCUGCUGAGUAAGUAUGUACAGAGUUUGUACUCUAGUUACUUCUCAAAGCUUUUGUUAAUCACUUGUAAUUGCUAAGUAAUUGUGGGAUUUUCAUGCAGUUAUUUAGCAAUAACAAUAUUCCUAUUUUACAGAUGCUAUUGUGCUUAUUUGAUGCCAUUUAUGAAAUGUAGUAAUGGAUUAAAUUAAAAUGUUUCCACUAUCAGAAAAUGUUUAAAAAGUAGUUAAAAUAGUUGCAUCAAUUUUCCCCAGUCAAGUUAUUAGAGACAACCUUGUGACUUAGUCUAAUAACUGAUAGACAAGUGUGACAUAUUGUUGCAUGUUUGGGGGUAGCUUGUCAUAUAACAAUGACCUGUAGAAUUUUUGGAUAUGAUAUAUUACUUCAGAAACUAAGAUGGAUAUUUGAAUUUGUUCUACCUGUAAAAUUCAAGCCAGAGAUGAAUGAGCUCUUGCCAGCUUGGCCUAUUUAAGAAGGCAAUAUACAGUCAGAUACAACAAAAUUUCCCUUUAUUGUCACAGAUUACUGUAUAAAUAGGUGAUGACAAAUCAAUUAUCCAAAUCAUGGCAUUGUCGAAAGUGACAAGAAAAUGAUUUUACUGGAAGACCAGGUAGAAUCUAGACAAACUGGGACCUUAAGUCAUCCUUUGUUUAUAUGAAGCAACUUUUAUUAAUUGUGAACUUAAUAUUAAAUUCUCUAUAUGAGAUACAAUGUCAGAAUACUUUUUGUUUCUUGCAACGCAUUCUGACAAGUGAUCUGUUGAUUUUUUUUCUUUAAGAGCUUAGCACCAUUUUAAACUCUUAGAGAUAUGCUAGUGUUUGUGAAGGCUCACUUCUCUCUUUAUUUUCUAGCAGAUUAUUUUACAACAGAAGCUUGAAAUUUCUGAGUGACAGAUGUAGAUUUUCUGUCACAUUUCUGAUCCCCUCUUAGACUAAGACAUACAAGGAAAUCUAUGAGAACAGUGCUUGGUAGUGUACUUGAUCAUUAAGAUUGUCAAUAAGAUAGUAGAGGUUGGAAUGACACUGAGAGGUCUUUUAGUGUCUCAUCCCCACUCCCUUAGCUCUACUAAUUUUAAUGCAUCACAUACAAGUUAUCUUUUCCUUAUCCUUGAGACUCUAGGUGGCAUUCAUGGGUAACAGAAAGAAUGGAGGCAACAAAUUUCAUAUUAACUUUUAUAUUUUUUUAUUCAGAAUACUUUGAUUGUUUUUUAUUUUUUUUAAGAAUGGACUUACUUUGUUAAGCAUACUUUCUGUUCCCAGUCAUGUGGUAGCAUAAUAAAUAUACAAGAAUGUGGAUUAAUAUGUCACUAACUUUUCUAAAAGUCAU